AUUCAUCAUUUUCAGGAGAUAAAUCGGGAGUCAUUCCAGUGCACGUCUCAACGCAGUCAUUAGCAGUUUGGAGGAAUGUAUUGAACGCUUUCGUGUAUGCUGAAGCUUUUGGAGUCAUCCUGUGACUUCCACAACAGUAAACAAGGAGACUAGUCCUUCCUUAUCCAGAGAGUGUUCUUUGCCAGACACCAAGCGUGCUGCCGCUGGUUCUUUUUACACGUCUUGCCUCUGGCAGUAAGUCACUUCACAGCACGGUAUUACUGUGAAACUUCGCCUCUCUGAUUUUGAAAAUGCAUACCUGAGGAAGCCAAACAUGACGAAAGUAGCAUAAAAAUCUCAUGAAGAGUAGAUGAAACAACUAGGAGACAUUUAAAGUGAUUUCAGAUGCCUGUAAAACCACAGCGUUCUGUUCUCCAAGGUGUGACGAUCCUAAAGAGGACUCCUCCUGCAGUGCCAAGCACUUCAGUAUAGUACCAGACAGAUCACUGGAGCACUCCUUCACUAAUAUGCAAAAACCAGGCUGGGAACCAAGGUCUGGCAAAGGUUAAUCUCCUGUAUGCAUCAAGACCGUAAGGGAAGUGACUGAAGUCCAGGGUUCCGUUGACACUUCUGUUCAACUUAUGACCAAUCAGAAGACUGCAUAAAUCCAGAAAGUAUGGUGCCAACCGCACUCACCGACUGAGGGCAUUAAUUCCAUACAAAGUGUUCCAUAACUGCUUUGAUGGGUAGCUGUUCCUCCAUUUCCUUCCAAAACUAAACCAUCACACCAAAGACACUGAAUACCAGAAGGGAGAGCUGUCCAUGGAUUUUUAUCAAACAGGCUAAACAUUUUGAGCCUCAGCACUGUUUGGGUUGUUUGCUUGUUGUAAUUUUUUUAUAUGAAAAUUAACUAAAGAUGAACGGGAAACAAGAUUUUAACAAUAUAGUAAGACUUCACCGCCAGUUGCUCCAACUUACUUAGAACAAACUGAGUUUUCCAGCAAAGAAAACAGUACUAGCACUAUAUCAAUCUGAAGUUAAAGAACAAAUGUCAGUCUAUUCUUGACAAACUCUUGCUUGCAUUUGUCUCUUUAGGACUCAGGCUCUUUGAUUCACUACGUUGUCCACCACGCACAGUAGCAUAAUGGAGUAGGGUGUCAGAGCCUGCCGUGUACCCCUCCACUUGCAGGGAUUCAGCUGCCUGUA
rnacentral:lncRNA from 1 species